UACGUAGGGUGCGAGCGUUAAUCGGAAUUACUGGGCGUAAAGCGUGCGCAGGCGGUUCGUUAAGUUCGUUGUGAAAGCCCCGGGCUCAACCUGGGAACUGCAAUGGAAACUGGCGGGCUUGAGUGUGGCAGAGGGGGGUGGAAUUCCGCGUGUAGCAGUGAAAUGCGUAGAGAUGUGGAGGAACACCGAUGGCGAAGGCAGCCCCCUGGGUCGACACUGACGCUCAUGCACGAAAGCGUGGGGAGCAAACAGG
rnacentral:rRNA from 1 species